UACAGAGGAUGCAAGCGUUAUCCGGAAUGAUUGGGCGUAAAGCGUCUGUAGGUGGCUUUUUAAGUCCGCCGUCAAAUCCCAGGGCUCAACUCUGGACAGGCGGUGGAAACUACCAAGCUGGAGUACGGUAGGGGCAGAGGGAAUUUCCGGUGGAGCGGUGAAAUGCGUAGAGAUUACAUGGAAUACCAAUUGCGAAGGCAGGUUACUACCAAUUUAUUGACGCUGAUGGACGAAAGCGUGGGUAGCGAACAGG
rnacentral:rRNA from 1 species